ACAUUAUAAACUGGAUAGUGGAAAUGUAAAGAGUCGCUACACUAUCGACUUAAAUAGCCUAUUUUUCAAAAAGAUUUUACAGAAUGAGGCUUUUGAAGUAAUACAAAGAUAAAGUAUAGACAGCGGUGUAGACGGUAUGCUUUACAACAUUAAAUCUCUUUUAUCGAGUAACUUAC